CAAGCCUUAGGCAUUAUCCACUGGGGCUGGGUACCCCACAGAGUGAAAAAUAAAAGCAAGAAACAAUCCUGGAGGAAGACAAGCUGUGCUCCGUAUCUGUUUCGAGGAAAUGAAAUAACAAAGCGGAAGCUAAUAAUGAAGACUGAAACCCACCUUCUCUUCAGUGUCCGCCACAGUGAAUUCCAUCAGGUCGAAGCUUUAUAGACCGCAGCAGAGCAAACAAGGCCAAGAGACUGAAGAAUCUCAUUCAAUACUCCAUGCUCAGAGAUUUAUGGUUGUACCCUUUCUCGGAUUCUUCCAAGCUGUAGCCAUGUUGCCUCAAACACGC
rnacentral:lncRNA from 1 species